rnacentral:rRNA from 1 species
CAGUCGCCGCGGUAAUACGGAGGGGGCUAGCGUUGUUCGGAAUUACUGGGCGUAAAGCGCACGUAGGCGGCUUUGUAAGUCAGAGGUGAAAGCCCGGGGCUCAACCCCGGAAUUGCCUUUGAGACUGCAUCGCUUGAAUCCAGGAGAGGUGAGUGGAAUUCCGAGUGUAGAGGUGAAAUUCGUAGAUAUUCGGAAGAACACCAGUGGCGAAGGCGGCUCACUGGACUGGUAUUGACGCUGAGGUGCGAAAGCGUGGGGAGCAAACAGGAUUAGAUACCCCCGUAGUCCCUGUCUCUUAUAC